GAACCGGUAGCCAUGGCUGACGACCGUCCGGUCGACCGAGCAUCAGCCUCCGAAGCUGGGGGUCGUGCGUUCGAAUCGCACCCGGGUCACCA
rnacentral:tRNA from 1 species